rnacentral:rRNA from 1 species
GACGAACGCUGGCGGCGUGCCUAACACAUGCAAGUCGAGCGGUAAGGCCCUUUCGGGGGUACACGAGCGGCGAACGGGUGAGUAACACGUGGGUGACCUGCCCUCAGCUCUGGGAUAAGCCCGGGAAACUGGGUCUAAUACCGGAUAUGACUCCAUGACGCAUGUUGUGGGGUGGAAAGCCUUGUGCGGCUGAGGAUGGGCCCGCGGCCUAUCAGCUUGUUGGUGGGGUGAUGGCCACCAAGGCGACGACGGGUAGCCGGCCUGAGAGGGCGACCGGCCACACUGGGACUGAGAUACGGCCCAGACUCCUACGGGAGGCAGCAGUGGGGAAUCUUGCGCAAUGGGCGAAAGCCUGACGCAGCGACGCCGCGUGAGGGAUGACGGCCU